rnacentral:rRNA from 1 species
CGGGCCUCGCGCCACGGCGCGCACCCCUACGGGAGGCGGGGCGGAUGGGAGGGGCGGGCUCGUUCCGUCCCCUCUCGUGCGCGCCCGACCUCCCCACGAACAAAACCCCGGCGUGAAACGCGCCAAGGAAUCAGAAACGAAAAGAAAAGGGAACGGGCCCCCGUCGCGUGCCGGGAACGGAAUUCGCACGGGGUCGCCCGGUCUCGUUCGCAAACAAAACGACUCUCGGCAACGGAUAUCUCGGCUCUCGCAUCGAUGAAGAACGAGCGAAAUGCGAUACUUGGUGUGAAUUGCAGAAUCCCGUGAACCAUCGAGUCUUUGAACGCAAGUUGCGCCCGAAGCCUUCGGGCCGAGGGCACGCCUGCCUGGGUGUCAUGUAUCGUCGCCCCAUCCGGAUCCUUCGCGGGAGACGGGACGAGGGGCGGAGAGUGGUCUCCCGUGCGCUCCCGCUCGCGGUUGGCCGAAAUCCGAGUUGUUGGCGGCGAGUGCCACGGCAAGCGGUGGUUGACAAGACCUUCGGAGAAUGCCGCGGGCCAAGCCACAGCACAAGGCUCCGGGAC